UAACGCGUGGGCAACCUGCCCCGCACUGGGGGACAACAGCCGGAAACGGCUGCUAAUACCGCAUAUGCGCACAGCUUUGCAUGAAGCAGUGUGGAAAACUCCGGUGGUGCGGGAUGGGCCCGCGUCUGAUUAGCUGGUUGGCGGGGCAACGGCCCACCAAGGCGACGAUCAGUAGCCUGCCUGAGAGGGUGGACGGCCACAUUGGGACUGAGACACGGCCCAGACUCCUACGGGAGGCAGCAG
rnacentral:rRNA from 1 species